rnacentral:pre_miRNA from 1 species
UAAGAAGCCCAAAACAACUAUUGGUCACUGCACAGGACUAGUAACACAUUUAUACUCUUGUGCGUGUUCUAAUAGUUAUUGUGGGUGCUUCAAA